AAUGAAUGAAUGAAUGAAUGAAUGAAUGAAUGAAUGAAUACACAAUUUCAUAUUAAAGUUGCACGUCUCCGGAUGGUACUGACACUCUGACAUAUGUUGCCCUGGGCGUCGCCGGGUUCGCAGUACUUCUUGCAUUUGCUCUGUCUGUCGCACUAUGCUGUGUUUAUAAAAAACUUAGGAACGGACGGCCAAGAUUACGCGACAAAUCAUCUCGAUUAACUUCAAUAUCAACGAUUGGAGAACGACCACCUUCUUAUAGAAGUCAUGAAUCUGAGCGCAUGUUUGUAAACUCACCCGUACAAUCACCAAGAGAAUCCAAAGUAUACCCGUUCUAUGACGUGAACUAUAAAAAGCCAAGAGUUACAUCAGACGCCUAGAUAUUUCCAACCCUCAGAUGAUAAUAAAGGGCACUACAGCGUUUAAAAAAGGGAAUGUGUAACAAAAAAUACAAAAAUGAUUUCGUGGUAAAAAAGCAUCUUCAGAUCGUCUGGGAUUUGUGAAAAAAAUCUAUUUACAUUCUAAAAAGAACGCCAAAUACUAGUACAAGUGUUGGUUAAUAGCCGCCCGUCUAUUAUUUAGUAAUAACCCCAAACUCAGUAGUAGAAAGGUUCGAUAUGACUGAUUUAUCUUUAUUUUAUGUUAAUACAUAUAAGUACGUCACGACAAAACCAACAUAAUGGUUUUGCGACCAGCAAGGAUCCAGACCAGCCUGCGCAUCCGCGCAGUCUGACCAGGAUCCAUGCUGUUCGCUUACAAACCCUAUAAUACGUAGAGAAACUAAUAGCGAACAGCAUGGAUCCUGAUCAGACUGCGCGGACACGCAGGCUGGUCUGGAUCCAUGCAGGUCGCAAACCCAUUACGUUGGUUUUGUCAUGACGCGGCUCAUAUAUUCCUUGAUUUCCCUUUUGGAGUUGAAUUAUCGUUAAAGUAUCUCUUAUUUUAACAUCACAUGAUAAAAUACAUAGCCCGAUAUUACUAUAAAAUAAAUGUGUUUUAACAUAUCUAUUUAAAAAAGAAAGAAAAAAAGGGUAGUUUUAAUGUUUUAUCCUAAACAUUUUUCAUUAUAAGUUAUUGGUCAGUCACUAAUAUCACUAAUAGUCAAUCUCUUGAACUAUAUUACUAACUCACCGACAGAAUGAGCAUCAUGUCACUUUAAGUUAAUUCUAUAGUGAUGAAACCGUAGUGUCUUGGUUCAUCAAUUUAAAUAAAUGAGCCACGUCACGACAAAACCAACAUAGUGCGUUUGCGACCAGCACGGAUCCAGAUCAGCCUGCGCAUCCGCGCAGUCUGAUCAGGAUCCAUGCUGUUCGCUUACCAACUCUAUUACAAGUAGAGAAACUGACAGCGAACAGCAUGGAUCGCAAACGCAUUAUGUUGGUUUUGUCAUGGCGCGGCUCAAAUGCUUUUGCACUUCCCCGGUGCUUUUAGCUGUAAUUUCAUUAAAAGGAACUCGAUCGCCUGUCAUUUAUAAAAUAAGCUGAAUGACUUUAAAUUGAAUGUUUGGUCUGUAUCCAGCAAAAUAAUGUAUGUUGUUUUUUUUCAACAAAAUAUUACAGAGAGACACAUAUUUUAUCUUGCAUUGAAUUUCAUGAUAAAUAAAUCUAAUUCAAAGUACAAAUUGCAUUAUCAAUAAGUUCUUCAUCUUAUUUCUUAUGCAAAUUAUUGCGUAAUUAUUCAGUAUAUUUAUUUAUUUUACUAACGUACUGAAAAGGACAUUGUCAAAAUCAAUCAAACGUGUAUUUCAUCCCUUUCAUAAGUUGCAUUUAUAUUAAAAUUUUUAAAGCAUUUAUCAUGUUUUAACAAAACAUUUAAUAUUUGCUAAUAUGAAUGUGCAUUUAUCAUUUGCAUUGUGGUAUGAAAAUUAUAGAUAUAUCAUAUUUACUCUUUUUUUUACCCCACACACUAGCUAGUAUUUUUUCAUGUUCAGUUUGUAUUCAGUUUGUAAAUUAUUGUGGCAACCUUUUUCUAGGACAUACAUCGGGCAGUAAAAAUAUUUCUGUUAAUAAAUGAUUUUCUCAUUCUACACUUAAAAGCUCAGUUUUUAUC